UACGUAGGGUGCGAGCGUUGUCCGGAAUUAUUGGGCGUAAAGGGCUUGUAGGCGGCUUGUCGCGUCGGAUGUGAAAACCCGUGGCCCAACUGCGGGCCUGCAUUCGAUACGGGCUGGCUAGAGUACGGCAGGGGAGACUGGAAUUCCUGGUGUAGCGGUGGAAUGCGCAGAUAUCAGGAGGAACACCGGUGGCGAAGGCGGGUCUCUGGGCCGUUACUGACGCUGAGGAGCGAAAGCGUGGGGAGCGAACAGG
rnacentral:rRNA from 1 species